rnacentral:lncRNA from 1 species
UUGAAUCCUAUGAUCAUCACCAUAUGCAACAAUUAUAAUUUUCAGAUCUGAAAACUAACUGAUUAUAUCAUGACAUAGAUUGCUGAUCAUGCUAAUCAUGAUUCUAAACUUUGUAAUCUCAUUAACAACGCAAUUAGAAUCAUCAUUUUAUCACAUAAAAAUCAGCAUGCAAAAAUCAGCACCCCUGAAAAAUCUGCAUGCAGAAAUUUUCAGCAUGCAUGAUCAUUCAAUUUUCAGAUCUAAUAAGCCUUUAGAUAAUUAAUUCUUACCUUA